GUCUUGUAGUUGAAGAACAAUAAUGAGUUGCAGCCUCGUAGGUGGGUACGUCCCUGAGAUCUG
rnacentral:tRNA from 1 species